rnacentral:lncRNA from 1 species
CCCAAAUUCCACCUGUGCAGAGUCACGGCUGAGGUCUGCUGCUCUCCCUGGAAAGAGUGUCGUACCUGCACUCCCUAUGAGUUUUCUGGACCAGUCCUCGAGAUGGGAAAGUGGGUGUAGCGCGUCUGGGACGCGGGACCCAGGGAAAGGAGAGGCGAGCGAGGCCGCCUAGGCGAGUAUAGGGGAGAAAGAGAAAAUGCCAGAGGCCGAGGACAGAUUCACAGCUCAAGAUCUGGCUCCCUGAAAGCACUACAGGAUGCUGAGAGAGGGUCAUUCCAGGGAAUGCAAUUGUAGCCUCCAUGUGGGAGCCAUCCUGAAGCAUUUGAAGGAUCCCAAGUGGUGGCAGGGCAGAUAGUCCUUGGGACCAGAAGCUCUGGAGUCUGACAGAUCUACUUCUACUUCUGGCCUGUCCGGCAAGGACGAUCUCCUAACACUUCUUUCCAGUCUCUUCCGAGGAUGAAGUGGACGGACCCACAGCAACAAGUUCACGUGGAACCAGAGCCAGAAUGGAACUGUGCAGAAGGCCGUCAUGAAAGUGGAGCCAGGCUGUGGCCAAGGGGGGCUGGGAGUGGCCUCUCCCUCAGCUCCCCACCAUCCUCUGGGCUGGAAGAUUGAGGCUUCACUGUCUUGGGUAAAGUGCUCUGGGACCCAGCUCCAAGUCCUUCUUCCCAAUCAGAAACCCAGUCCAGAUAGAAAGACUAUAAAAUUUUUUUAAAGUACAAAUAAAUACAAAGGACAGUUUUAAAUUUAUCAGCUAGUAUAUACUCACUUCGCCUCAUUUGUUUUACAGUACUGGGCCUUGAUGCAUGCUAGGCAAACACUCUACCACUG